CCUACGGGGGGCAGCAGUGAGGAAUAUUGGUCAAUGGGCGCGAGCCUGAACCAGCCGAGUAGCGUGAAGGAUGACUGCCCUACGGGUUGUAAACUUCUUUUAUAAAGGAAUCAAGUGAGGCACGUGUGCCUUUUUUUAUGUACUUUAUGAAUAAGGAUCGGCUAAUUCCGUGCCAGCAGCCGCGGUAAUACGGAGGAUCCUAGCGUUAUCCGGAUUUAUUGGGUUUAUGGGGAGCGUAGAUGGUUUGUUAAGUCAGUUUUGAAAGUUUGCGGCUCAACCGUAAAAUUGCAAUUGAUACUGGAAGCCUUGAGUACAGUUGAGGUAGGCGGAAUUCGUGGUGUAGCGGUGAAAUGCUUAGAUAUCACGAAGAACUCCGAUUGCGAAGGCAGCUUACUAAACUGCCACUGACAUUGAUGCUCGAAAGUGUGGGUAUCAAACAGGAUUAGAUACCCCAGUAGUC
rnacentral:rRNA from 1 species